CCUACGGGCGGCUGCAGUGAGGAAUAUUGGUCAAUGGACGAGAGUCUGAACCAGCCAAGUAGCGUGAAGGAUGACUGCCCUAUGGGUUGUAAACUUCUUUUAUAAAGGAAUAAAACGAGGCACGUGUGCCUUUUUGCAUGUACUUUAUGAAUAAGGAUCGGCUAACUCCGUGCCAGCAGCCGCGGUAAUACGGAGGAUCCGAGCGUUAUCCGGAUUUAUUGGGUUUAAAGGGAGCGUAGAUGGGUUGUUAAGUCAGUUGUGAAAGUUUGCGGCUCAACCGUAAAAUUGCAAUUGAUACUGGCAGUCUUGAGUACAGUUGAGGUAGGCGGAAUUCGUGGUGUAGCGGUGAAAUGCUUAGAUAUCACGAAGAACCCCGAUUGCGAAGGCAGCUUACUAAACUGUGACUGACAUUGAUGCUCGAAAGUGUGGGUAUCGAACAGGAUUAGAUACCCUUGUAGUC
rnacentral:rRNA from 1 species